rnacentral:rRNA from 1 species
CGUAGGGUCCAAGCGUUAUCCGGAAUUACUGGGCGUAAAGAGUUGCGUAGGUGGCAGGGUAAGUAGAUAGUGAAAGCGUGUGGCUCAACCAUACAUCCAUUAUCUAAACUGCUCAGCUAGAGGACGAGAGAGGUAGAUGGAAUUCCUAAUGUAGGGGUAAUAUCCGUAGAUAUUAGGAGGAUCACCGAUGGCGUAAGCAGUCUACUGGCUCGUUCCUGACACUAAGGCACGAAAGCGUGGGGAGCAAACGGGAUUAGAUACCCCGGUAGUCCACGCCGUAAACUAUGGAUGCUAGCUGUAAGGAGUAUCGACCCUUCUUGUAGCGAAGCUAACGCGUUAAGCAUCCCGCCUGUGGAGUACGGUCGCAAGACUA